rnacentral:rRNA from 1 species
CUACGUGCCAGCAGCCGCGGUAAUACGUAGGUGGCAAGCGUUAUCCGGAUUUAUUGGGCGUAAAGCGAGCGCAGGCGGUCUUUUAAGUCUAAUGUGAAAGCCUUCGGCUCAACCGAAGAAGUGCAUUGGAAACUGGGAGACUUGAGUGCAGAAGAGGACAGUGGAACUCCAUGUGUAGCGGUGAAAUGCGUAGAUAUAUGGAAGAACACCAGUGGCGAAGGCGGCUGUCUGGUCUGUAACUGACGCUGAGGCUCGAAAGCAUGGGUAGCGAACAGGAUUAGAUACCCUGGUAG